GAUGAACGCUGGCGGCGUGCCUAAUACAUGCAAGUCGAGCGAACAGACGAGGAGCUUGCUCCUCUGACGUUAGCGGCGGACGGGUGAGUAACACGUGGAUAACCUACCUAUAAGACUGGGAUAACUUCGGGAAACCGGAGCUAAUACCGGAUAAUAUAUUGAACCGCAUGGUUCAAUAGUGAAAGACGGUUUUGCUGUCACUUAUAGAUGGAUCCGCGCCGCAUUAGCUAGUUGGUAAGGUAACGGCUUACCAAGACGACGAUGCGUAGCCGACCUGAGAGGGUGAUCGGCCACACUGGAUCUGAGACACGGUCCAGACUCCUACGGGAGGCAGCAGUAGGGAAUCUUCCGCAAUGGGCGAAAGCCUGACGGAGCAACGCCGCGUGAGUGAUGAAGGUCUUCGGAUCGUAAAACUCUGUUAUUAGGGAAGAACAAAUGUGUAAGUAACUAUGCACGUCUUGACGGUACCUAAUCAGAAAGCCACGGCUAACUACGUG
rnacentral:rRNA from 1 species